rnacentral:lncRNA from 1 species
AAGAAGUCCAUUCAUCCCUUCUGAGAGCACAGACGUGAGGCAGAGCAGGGGUGGGAAGUAGCUAUGAGUCGGAGGAGGGGAAGGAAACUGAAGUUAUAAAUAGGAUGAAAGAAGAAGAAAAAAGAAACCUAGAGUAUUUUUCUUCCUUUCUUUUUAUUCAGCACAUCUCCACCAACAAAAAAGUGCCACAGCUGGAGAAAUCAUUCCUUCAUCUGAGUCUUCAUCUCCCUUCUUUAUAACCCCACAAUAGCCUUCCAAAUGACAACCCAUCACUGAGGAGAACUGGGCCACAGCCCAGAGAGAAUUCCCGUGGCAGCUCUUUCAUCUGGACAGCUCACAAGGCAAAGGGCAGACAAGGAAGGCUCAAGGUUCUUGCCACAUCUUUCCAUCAGAGGGAGCCUGAGGAAGUGGCUACUGACUAGAGUUGCAAACAGAUUGCCACCAACUGAUGAGCCAGAAACUAGGAAGAGCCUCCCAAUCUGCCCGGCCUAUCACAGCAUGCCCCUGACAGUAACAAGCACUGUGCUGUGUCUCUCUGUUCAUUUCUGCUGCAGGAUGAAGCAUGGACAACAAAGCAGUAAACAAAGAGUAAUAGCAUUUGAAAGAAACGACA